rnacentral:rRNA from 1 species
UACGUAGGGUGCAAGCGUUGUCCGGAAUUAUUGGGCGUAAAGAGCGCGCAGGCGGCUGGCCAAGUCCGAUGUGAAAUCUCCCGGCUUAACUGGGAAACUGCAUCGGAAACUGACCGGCUUGAAGGUGGGAGAGGGUAGUGGAAUUCCCGGUGUAGUGGUGAAAUGCGUAGAUAUCGAGAGGAACACCUGCGGCGAAGGCGGGUUGCUGGGCUGACACUGACGCUGAUGCGCGAAAGCCAGGGGAGCGAACGGG